CGAAGGGUGCAAGCGUUAGUCGGAAUUACUGGGCGUAAAGCGUGCGUAGGCGGUUUUCUAAGUCUGCCGUGAAAGCCCCGGGCUCAACCUGGGAAUGGCGGUGGAUACUGGAAAGCUGGAGUGCGGUAGAGGAGGGUGGAAUUCCCGGUGUAGCGGUGAAAUGCGUAGAGAUCGGGAGGAGCAUCAGUGGCGAAGGCGGCCCUCUGGACCAGCACUGACGCUGAGGCACGAAAGCGUGGGGAGCAAACAGGAUUAGAUACCCUGGUAGUCCACGCCCUAAACGAUGCGAACUGGACGUUGGUCACAACUCGGUGAUCAGUGUCGAAGCUAACGCGUUAAGUUCGCCGCCUGGGGAGUACGCUCGCAAGAGUG
rnacentral:rRNA from 1 species